rnacentral:tRNA from 1 species
GGAGGAGUGCCAGAGCGGUUGAUUGGAGCGGUCUUGAAAACCGUCGAACGUGCGAGCGUUCCGUGGGUUCGAAUCCCACCUCCUCCUCCA